CCGAGUGUGUCACUGUGUGGUUUUGUGACCUAAGCCUCAGUCAUCAAGAGGGGCUGGCCCAGCUUUGAUCUCCCAGGACCUAUGACUCUGUAGGGAUACACUCUCACCUUGACAAAAAGCAAGGCUUUUAAAGGAAGAAACCUCUCCCCUGCCUCUCUGCUUCUCUGUCUUAGUGUGUUUCGCUGAGCUAUCUGGUUGAUCUAUAAAAAGAUGUUAUUACUUUGGACCUAGCAAGUACAGGUGUGCAAGAGUAGUGGGAGGGAGGCGCACACAGCACUUGGUCUGAGAAUGACACUCCACAGCCCACUCUGCAUCAUCCCUCAGCUCAGAACAUAUUCGUGAUCUCCAUGGACAAACAACGACAUUGUUAAGCCCAGAUACGAAGAUGCAUCCAGAAUCAGAUAAGCCCAGCACAGCAGAAGAGAGUGAAAGCAAACAUCGCUCACCAGUAAGGAAUGAUCAUUUCCUGCCCUCCCUCACUUAAGGCACAGUUCUUCAGAGUCCUAGUCUGUGGGUACUUGGGCAUGGGGAAGGAAAAAGAAUCGAGUCUCCUCUC